rnacentral:rRNA from 1 species
GAUGAACGCUGGCGGCGUGCCUAAUACAUGCAAGUCGAGCGAACAGACGAGGUGCUUGCUCCUCUGACAUUAGCGGCGGACGGGUGAGUAACACGUGGAUAACCUACCUAUAAGACUGGGAUAACUUCGGGAAACCGGAGCUAAUACCGGAUAAUAUAUUGAACCGCAUGGUUCAAUAGUGAAAGACGGUUUUGCUGUAACUUAUAGAUGGAUCCGCGCCGCAUUAGCUAGUUGGUAAGGUAACGGCUUACCAAGGGGACAAUGAGUAGCCGACUUGAGAGGGGAAUCGGCCACAUGGGAACGGAGACAGGGUCCAGACUCCUACGGGAGGCAGAAGUAGGGAACCUUCCGCAAGGAGCGAAGGCCUGACGGAGCAACGCGGCGUGAGUGAGGAGGGUCUUGGGAUCGAAAAACUCGUUUAUUAGGGAAAAACAAAUGGGUAAGUAACUAUGCACGUCUUGACGGUAACUAAUCAGAAAGCCACGGCUAACUACGUG